rnacentral:rRNA from 1 species
UGAGGAAUAUUGGUCAAUGGACGAGAGUCUGAACCAGCCAAAUCGCGUGAAGGAAGACUGCCCUACGGGUUGUAAACUUCUUUUGUACAGGAAUAAAAGACAUUACGUGUAAUGUAUUGCAUGUACUGUACGAAUAAGCAUCGGCUAACUCCGUGCCAGCAGCCGCGGUAAUACGGAGGAUGCGAGCGUUAUCCGGAUUUAUUGGGUUUAAAGGGUGCGCAGGCGGGAUUUUAAGUCAGCGGUGAAAUUUUCAGGCUCAACCUGAACACUGCCGUUGAAACUGGGAUUCUUGAGUAUGGAUGAAGUAGGCGGAAUUCGUUGUGUAGCGGUGACAUGCUUAGAUAUAACGAGGAACUCCGAUUGCGUAGGCAGCUUACAAAGCCAUAACUGACGCUCAAGCACGAAAGCGUGGGGAUCAAAC